rnacentral:rRNA from 1 species
AGCGAACGCUGGCGGCAGGCUUAACACAUGCAAGUCGAGCGGGCGUAGCAAUACGUCAGCGGCAGACGGGUGAGUAACGCGUGGGAACGUACCUUUUGGUUCGGAACAACACAGGGAACUUGUGCUAAUACCGGAUAAGCCCUUACGGGGAAAGAUUUAUCGCCGAAAGAUCGGCCCGCGUCUGAUUAGCUAGUUGGUGUGGUAACGGCGCACCAAGGCGACGAUCAGUAGCUGGCUGAGAGGAUGAUCAGCCACCAUUGGGACUGAGACACGGCCCAAACUCCUACGGGAGGCAGCAGUGGGGAAUAUUGGACAAUGGGCGCAAGCCUGAUCCAGCCAUGCCGCGUGAGUGAUGAAGGCCCUAGGGUUGUAAAGCUCUUUUGUGCGGGAAGAUAAUGACGGUACCGCAAGAAUAAGCCCCGGCUAACUUCGUGCCAGCCGCCGCCGUAAC